GAUCAUGGCUCAGGAUGAACGCUAGCGACAGGCCUAACACAUGCAAGUCGGAGGGGCAGCGGAGAGGUAGCAAUACCUUUGCCGGCGACCGGCGCACGGGUGAGUAACACGUAUGCAAUCCACCUGUAACGAGGGGGAUAACCCGGAGAAAUCCGGACUAAUACCCCAUAAUAUGGGUUCUCCGCAUGGAGGGUCCAUUAAAGAGAGCAAUUUUGGUUACAGACGAGCAUGCGCUCCAUUAG
rnacentral:rRNA from 1 species